GGGGGGGGGGGGGGGGGGGGGGGGGGGGGGGGGGGCGGGGGGGGGGGGGGGGGGGGUGGGGCGCUGAGGUUAGCGGGGGGCGGGGGGGUAGCACGUGGAUAACCUGCCUAUAGGACUGGGAUAACUGCGGGAAACCGGAGCUCAUACCGGAUAAUAUUUUGAACCGCAUGGUUCAAAAGUGAAAGACGGUCUUGCUGUCACUUAUAGAUGGAUCCGCGCUGCAUUAGCUAGUUGGUAAGGUAACGGCUUACCAAGGCAACGAUGCAUAGCCGACCUGAGAGGGUGAUCGGCCACACUGGAACUGAGACACGGUCCAGACUCCUACGGGAGGCAGCAGUAGGGAAUCUUCCGCAAUGGGCGAAAGCCUGACGGAGCAACGCCGCGUGAGUGAUGAAGGUCUUCGGAUCGUAAAACUCUGUUAUUAGGGAAGAACAUAUGUGUAAGUAACUGUGCACAUCUUGACGGUACCUAAUCAGAAAGCCACGGCUAACUACGUG
rnacentral:rRNA from 1 species